GAGGAUACAGCUCAGUGGUGGACUGUGUGCUUAGCAUGCAUGAGGUCCUGGGUUCAAUCCCCAGUACCCCCA
rnacentral:tRNA from 1 species